UGGGUGAGUAACGCGUGGGUAACCUGCCCUUAAGUCUGGGAUACCAUUUGGAAACAGAUGCUAAUACCGGAUAAAAGCUACUUUCGCAUGAAAGAAGUUUAAAAGGCGGCGUAAGCUGUCGCUAAAGGAUGGACCUGCGAUGCAUUAGCUAGUUGGUAAGGUAACGGCUUACCAAGGCGAUGAUGCAUAGCCGAGUUUAGAGACUGAUCGGCCACAUUGGGACUGAGACACGGCCCAAACUCCUACGGGAGGCAGCAGGU
rnacentral:rRNA from 1 species